UAAGGAAUAUUGGACAAUGGAGGCAACUCUGAUCCAGCCAUGCCGCGUGAAGGAAUAAGGCCCUAUGGGUUGUAAACUUCUUUUAGACGGGACAAAACCCCUUUACGUGUAAAGGGUUGAUGGUACUGUCAGAAUAAGCAUCGGCUAACUUCGUGCCAGCAGCCGCGGUAAUACGAAGGAUGCAAGCGUUAUCCGGAAUUAUUGGGUUUAAAGGGUGCGUAGGCGGACUAAUAAGUCAGUGGUGAAAGCCUGCAGCUUAACUGCAGAAUUGCCAUUGAUACUGUUAGUCUUGAGUACAGUUGAGGUAGGCGGAAUGUGUCAUGUAGCGGUGAAAUGCUUAGAUAUGACACAGAACACCGAUUGCGAAGGCAGCUUGCUAAGCUGUAACUGACGCUGAGGCACGAAAGCGUGGGGAGCAAACA
rnacentral:rRNA from 1 species